rnacentral:rRNA from 1 species
AACGACUCUCGACAACGGAUAUCUCGGCUCUCGCAUCGAUGAAGAACGUAGCGAAAUGCGACACUUGGUGUGAAUUGCAGAAUCCCGUGAACCAUCGAGUCUUUGAACGCAAGUUGCGCCCGAAGCCAAUAGGCCGAGGGCACGUCUGCCUGGGUGUCACAU